rnacentral:rRNA from 1 species
UACAGAGGUCCCGAGCGUUGUUCGGAUUCAUUGGGCGUAAAGGGUGCGUAGGCGGUCUUCUAAGUUUGAUGUGAAAUCCCGGGGCUUAACCCUGGAAUUGCAUUGAAUACUGGAGGACUUGAGUACCGGAGAGGAAACUGGAAUUUACGGUGUAGCAGUGAAAUGCGUAGAGAUCGUAAGGAAGACCAGUGGCGAAGGCGGCUCACUGGCCCGGUACUGACGCUGAGGUGCGAAAGCGUGGGGAGCAAACAGG